UGGGGAAUUUUGGACAAUGGGCGCAAGCCUGAUCCAGCCAUGCCGCGUGCGGGAAGAAGGCCUUCGGGUUGUAAACCGCUUUUGUCAGGGAAGAAAUCUUCUGAGUUAAUACCUCGGGAGGAUGACGGUACCUGAAGAAUAAGCACCGGCUAACUACGUGCCAGCAGCCGCGGUAAUACGUAGGGUGCAAGCGUUAAUCGGAAUUACUGGGCGUAAAGCGUGCGCAGGCGGUUUUGUAAGACAGAGGUGAAAUCCCCGGGCUCAACCUGGGAACUGCCUUUGUGACUGCAAGGCUUGAGUGCGGCAGAGGGGGAUGGAAUUCCGCGUGUAGCAGUGAAAUGCGUAGAUAUGCGGAGGAACACCGAUGGCGAAGGCAAUCCCCUGGGCCUGCACUGACGCUCAUGCACGAAAGCGUGGGGAGCAAACAGGAUUAGAUAGCCCUGGUAGUCCACGCCCUAAACGAUGUCAACUGGUUGUUGGGAAGGUUCCUUCUCAGUAACGUAGCUAACGCGUGAANUUGACCGCCUGGGGAGUACGGCCGCAA
rnacentral:rRNA from 1 species